CGCGUAGGCGGGCCCGUAUGUCGAUUGUGAAAGCCCUGGCUUAACCCGGGAAUGGCAGUCGAAACUGCGGGUCUUGAGUGCUUGAGAGGAUGGCGGAAUUCCCGGUGUAGAAGUGAAAUUCGUAGAUAUCGGGAAGAACACCUGAGGCGAAGGCGGCUGUCUGGCGAUGCACUGACGCUGAGGCGCGAAAGCGUGGGGAGCAAACA
rnacentral:rRNA from 1 species